CAAGAACCACACAGAAAAGGGAGGCAAAGGGGCCUACAGGGCUAGUAGCUUAUACGUUGUUGAACGUCCUGCCUGGACCCGGAGCCGCCCCCAUCUAAACCCUCUGCGUACCUGUCCCUUCUUGCUUCCCCCGGCAUCUCGUCGGGGGGAGGUAACAACCAAAACUCUCUGUGAAUCAAACAGCCGUCAGAAUUAUAAAACAAACAAAAGUUAAAACUUUCAACAACGGAUCUCUUGGUUCCCACAUCGAUGAAGAACGCAGCGAAAUGCGAUAAGUAAUGUGAAUUGCAGAAUUCAGUGAAUCAUCGAAUCUUUGAACGCACAUUGCGCCCCCUGGUAUUCCGGGGGGCAUGCCUGUUCGAGCGUCAUAAAAACCUCCUCCCCCUUCGGGUUUUGUCACUAUCGUUGGGGGGUUUUGGCCUAAUGGGAUAGCGAUUGGCAAUUCGUUUCCCAAUGUCCUAAAUAGACGUAGACCCGCCUCCAGAUGCGACAGCACCGAGGCCAUCAACCGUGGAGUUAUGGGAUAUAAUAGGCUUGCAGUAAAAUGCUCACCUCUCUCCACACGCCGAUGGCACGACAGUUGCAGUUGCGGGCGUAAAUUGGAGCCCUUUUCAGGACCCUUGUGGCCUAGCAUCCACCAUACAUAAUUUGACCUCGGAUCAGGUAGGGAUACCCGCUGAACUUAAGCAU
rnacentral:rRNA from 1 species